GGGUGCUUAUAGUUCUUGAAUUUGUAUAGUAGGUCUUCUAGUUCUCACUGGAAGACACUC
rnacentral:snRNA from 1 species